AGGCCAUGUGAGAGGACGACUCGUCGGGGUUUUCAGUGGCGCCACUGCUAAUUUUCACUUGUUUGAUUAUUUGAAGAUGAAAUUAUUUGUGAGUGCUGAUGUUCUGUCGUAUGCUUGACUGGUUGUGUGUUCACUUCAGUAUUUUAGGAUGCAUUUUGUGUGAAUAUGUGUGAUAUGCAUUAUUUAUUAUUAUUCACUGAGUUACAAAACUCACUCUUUUUUUAUUUAUUUAACUUGUCAGGAAGUAGAAUCCCUACCGGUCCGUUUGAAGCUCUGUAAUCUUCUCCGCGGGACUGUAGAAGUAAAUUUCUAAUUUUAUAUUUAUCUAAUUUAGGUAUUGUUAUAUGUAAGAGUUUCACUACUUCUAGCUAUUAUUGAAUUCCGCAGUUUUAGGAUUUUAUGUAUCACUAAUCUUGUUUUAAUAGGUGUACUAAGCUAUGAAUGUCCUAAAUAUUUAUCUAAGAUACAUAUGAAUCAGUAGCCUAUAUUAUGAAUGAGGUAUACUAUUGGUUGGCC